rnacentral:rRNA from 1 species
GCCUUGUACACACCGCCCGUCACACCAUGGGAGUCGGUAACACCCGAAGCCUGUAGUCUAACCGCAAGGGGGACGCAGUCGAAGGUGGGAUUGAUGACUGGGGUGAAGUCGUAACAAGGUAUC